GAUGAACGCUGGCGGCGUGCCUAAUACAUGCAAGUCGAGCGAACAGAUAAGGAGCUUGCUCCUUUGACGUUAGCGGCGGACGGGUGAGUAACACGUGGAUAACCUACCUGUAAGACUGGGAUAACUUCGGGAAACCGGAGCUAAUACCGGAUAACAUAUUGAACCGCAUGGUUCAAUAGUGAAAGGCGGCUUUGCUGUCACUUAUAGAUGGAUCCGCGCCGUAUUAGCUAGUUGGUAAGGUAACGGCUUACCAAGGCAACGAUACGUAGCCGACCUGAGAGGGUGAUCGGCCACACGGGAACUGAGACACGGUCCAGACUCCUACGGGAGGCAGCAGUAGGGAAUCUUCCGCAAUGGGCGAAAGCCUGACGGAGCAACGCCGCGUGAGUGAUGAAGGUCUUCGGAUCGUAAAACUCUGUUAUCAGGGAAGAACAAAUGUGUAAGUAACUGUGCACAUCUUGACGGUACCUGAUCAGAAAGCCACGGCUAACUACGUG
rnacentral:rRNA from 1 species